rnacentral:sRNA from 1 species
UUAACCCCUCCUAGGAAAUAUCCCUUCCCAUAGCACUUCAGAGUCUUUGCGGCAACUCUGCUGCAAUGUCCCCAC